CGCAUUCAGAGGUCUCCUUCAACUCCCAGCUGUGGUCCACAGUCAAUAAAAGACUCUUUAGGGCUGAAGAGAUAAAAGAAGGCAGUGUCCAUGCCUCUUUCUGGAAGAGGCAGAAGAAGAGGAUUUCCUCCUACCCCGCCCCAGGAACCCACAGAGAAGACUCUAGAUAAGAGUUAAGAAGAGGAAAAGACAGAGCAUAAAACUUCUCCACUUUGUUAAUCAAAGAUGGGUGAGGACCUUACAGAGGGA
rnacentral:lncRNA from 1 species